rnacentral:misc_RNA from 1 species
AUUUCCUGCUGCUCCUGCCCAGAAUGGCUCUUUGAGAAUGUCCUUAAGCACGGUGCUCUUCCCAGCACCCAUCCCACCACCCAUGAAGAGGAGGACUGGACUUCUAUCAGAGUGUGCCACUGGAGCCAUAACCUCUGUACAUUGCGAGUCAUCAUUUGAUGCUAAUCCCAUUGCUUUCAUUUCCUCAACCAAUGUAUUGAACACCCUAGCUACCUUCAGGUUUUUUGUCACCCUCUCAAAUCUCUGUUCCCUUGUUGCUGCCAUGACAAUGUGCUUAAAUUUCUUUUUGGGUUCCGCAUCAGCAGUCAGUACCUGAUGCAUAAUAAGAUCAGCGUGGCUCCAAUGGAAUGCAAAAUAACUAAGAAUGCAUCUCUCAAGCUCCUCAAGAAGUUUUACAAAAAGCGAAUCUGCUUCAACUUCCUCUGCAAAAAAUGCAUAAAUAUCUUCCUCACAGCUUUCACUCUUGCAAAUGUAUUCUGCAGCUAACUUGCAGAGAUGUGGACAUUCUCUCCUAUCUGCAAAUCCCAUUUGCCUCGCUACAUAAUGAGGGAACCUUUCAAGCUUCUCUGCUCGGCCUUGUUCCUUUGGUUUUAAACGAGGGACGAUCUUCCGAUCCCUGGUC